UACGUAGGGCGCAAGCGUUGUCCGGAAUUACUGGGCGUAAAGAGAUCGUAGGCGGUUUGUCGCGUCUGCUGUGAAAACCUAAGGCUCAACCUUGGGCUUGCAGUGGGUACGGGCAGACUAGAGUGCGGGAGGGGUGACUGGAAUUCCUGGUGUAGCGGUGGAAUGCGCAGAUAUCAGGAGGAACACCGAUGGCGAAGGCAGGUCACUGGGCCGCAACUGACGCUGAGGAGCGAAAGCGUGGGGAGCGAACAGG
rnacentral:rRNA from 1 species